rnacentral:sRNA from 1 species
UAUUCUGCCCCAUGGGGAAGGAUGAGAAGCUUCGACUAAGGUUCGACUCGAGCGAGGCGAGAGAACGUUGCCGCAGGCAACGGCCCGAAGGGCGAGGCGCUUUAGCGCCGAGUAAUCCUUCCCCCACCACCA